GCUAACUACGUGCCAGCAGCCGCGGUAAUACGUAGGGUGCGAGCGUUAUCCGGAAUUAUUGGGCGUAAAGAGCUCGUAGGCGGUUUGUCGCGUCUGUCGUGAAAGUCCGGGGCUUAACCCCGGAUCUGCGGUGGGUACGGGCAGACUAGAGUGCAGUAGGGGAGACUGGAAUUCCUGGUGUAGCGGUGGAAUGCGCAGAUAUCAGGAGGAACACCGAUGGCGAAGGCAGGUCUCUGGGCUGUAACUGACGCUGAGGAGCGAAAGCAUGGGGAGCGAACAGGAUUAGAUACCCCUGUAGUC
rnacentral:rRNA from 1 species